UAAUUGACUUUUGCUUUCCAGGUGUCAGAUCAGACACUGAGCUUGUCCUUCACGGUUCUGCAAGAUGUCCCAGUAAGAGAUCUGAAACCAGCCAUAGUGAAAGUCUAUGAUUACUAUGAGACAGAUGAGUUUGCAAUUGCUGAAUACAGUGCUCCUUGCAGCAAAGAUCUUGGAAAUGCUUGAAGACCACAAGACUGAAGAGCGCUUUGCUGGAGUCCUGUCCUCAGAGCGCCACAGAAGAAACAUGUUUUUGUAUCUCCAAAGGCUUGAUGAAUGAACAUUUUUGUCUGGUCAAUGUCUUUCCAUGUUUCCUGUUCAUUCAAUAAAUAUUUCUUUACAUUUCCA